UACAGAGGGUGCGAGCGUUGUCCGGAAUCACUGGGCGUAAAGCGCGCGCAGGCGGCUUUGUAAGCCCAGUGUUUAAGCUCGGAGCUCAACUCCGAUACGCACUGGGAACUGCGAGGCUUGAGUGCUGGAGAGGGUCGUGGAAUUCCCGGUGUAGCGGUGAAAUGCGUAGAGAUCGGGAGGAACACCAGAGGCGAAGGCGGCGACCUGGACAGCGACUGACACUCAACUGCGAAAGCGUGGGGAGCAAACAGG
rnacentral:rRNA from 1 species